AAGUCGUAACAAGGUUUCCGUAGGUGAACCUGCGGAAGGAUCAUUAACACGAUAUUAUCUUAUCAUUUACCCACGCGAACAUUUCCCCUCCCUAGCGCGCUAUAAUUGUAUUCAGUGUUUCAGCUGCAUGCAUGUUGCUAGGCUACCGUUUUCUAAUUUUUUAACCACACAAACAGCGUUUUUGUUUUCUUUGCUAAGUAUGCUCUGCAUAGGCGGCAGUAGAGAUCAAAUUACAACUAAAAAAACCAUAUUAUCUUUGAACAAAAGAUUAUGUUUUUUUUCUAUUACGUAAAGAAUAGGAAGUAUAUAAAACAACUCUUAGCAAUGGAUAUCUUGGUUCUC
rnacentral:misc_RNA from 1 species